UGCGUCUUUAGUUCAGUUGGUAGAACAUGGGUCUCCAAAAUCCAAUGUCGAGGGUUCGAUUCCUUCAAGACGUGA
rnacentral:tRNA from 1 species